GACGAACGCUGGCGGCGUGCUUAACACAUGCAAGUCGAACGGAAAGGCCCUGCUGUUGUGGGGUGCUCGAGUGGCGAAAGGGUGAGUAACACGUGAGUAACCUGCCCUUGACUUUAGGAUAACUUCAGGAGACUAGGGCUGAUACCGGCUAGGAGCUCCUGCUUCAGGGUGGGGGUUGGAAAGUUUCGGCGGUUGGGGAUGGACUCGCGGCGUAUCAGCUUGUUGGUGGGGUAGUGGCUUACCAAGGCUUUGACGGGUAGCCGGCCUGAGAGGGUGACCGGCCACAUUGGGACUGAGAUACGGCCCAGACUCCUACGGGAGGCAGCAGUGGGGAAUAUUGCACAAUGGGCGGAAGCCUGAUGCAGCAACGCCGCGUGCGGGAUGACGGCCUUCGGGUUGUAAACCGCUUUCGCCUGUGACGAAGCGUGAGUGACGGUAAGGGGUAAAGAAGCACCGGCUAACUACGUG
rnacentral:rRNA from 1 species